rnacentral:lncRNA from 1 species
AAAAUUCAGUUACUACAUUAAACAUUUUAAAAAUAAAUUUGCCACAUUAAAAUUUAUAAAAUUUCAGAUAUAAAACCUACCAUUAUCUAAAAAAAGAAAAAAAACGUUCAUAGAGGUACAUCUUACCUAACAUCAAUAAAAAUUCAUAAAAGAUGUGAUAUUAACGUCAAAGAAAACCAAAUUUUUGAACACCUAAACAUGAGAAGAAUUUGCUGUCAGGCCUUGAUUGAGCAAUAGAGGCAGUGAGUUAUGCCAUGAAUUUGAACACCUAAACAUGAGAAGAAUUUGCUAUGGGAUCCUUCUGAAUGUAGUUUAAUAUAGUGCACGAAUUUGAAUGCAGUUUCAUUUGCAUUUCAUUUGUUUUUCUACCUCAUCUUUGCUUUCAAUUUGGUUGGCAAUUAAUAUAUGGUUGCAUGCCAUGGUACUCGAUAAUAAUAGCCAUAGGACAAUUGAUGUUGAACGUUGACAAUAACUCUUUAUUUUCUCUAUUGGUCUGGCCAUUAAAUAUCUUUAGAGGCAGCUGAGAGGCAUUCUAGAUUCACAUUAGAGAUCAAUAAUAUUUUAAUUUUUAAAAAUUAUAAACAUUAGCCUAGAAAAAGAAGUGCCCAAAGUUCUUUUUUUCUAAUUUUGCUUUGUUUUGAUGCUUAAAGAACUUCUACGUCCCUAACAUCCUCUUUGUUCUAGUUGUAGUUUGGACCAAGUCAAGUAGUCUUCUGUUGGGGAAGAGGAAGAGCAAAGGAAGAAAACAGAGAGCACAGAACAAUGAAGCAAGAUGCAAGAAAUAUUUUUACUUGCUCACAAAUGUGCAGCAAGGGAGCUUAUGGCUGAUAGCUCAUUUUGCUCAUUCAUUCAACUAGAAAAAACAAUACAUUUAUAGCCAAAUACAUCACCAAAUACUACCUACUACCACUAAUCAUACUUUGAAACAAGUAAAACUUAACUUGCACACAAGCUGAUUAUGUCAAUCAGCACCUAAAAACAUCAAAACAAUACCAACUUAGUUCAUUUUCAACUAAGUAGCUUAACAAAGUAACUAAACAACCUCGCUGUUACAGCAAGCAUACGUGCUGCAGCAUGUUUACAAGCUGCAUGCACUUAACCAAAAAUAUAACAGCAGCAUGUUCGUAAUUUCUUGAUGAGACCAAGUUAAUUUGGAGCUGCGAGCUUCGAAACUUGUGGGAUCAAUAUCGCCAUAAAUCUGAAAUUGGAGUUUUAUAUUAGUGUCAAAUCGUCAAACAACAGCGUCACUCAAGAACUGGCUCAAGAAAUUGGAAUCAGUCAA